rnacentral:tRNA from 1 species
AAUCUUAUAGUCAUGUAAUGACGUUAGACUGCAAUUCUAAAGGAGUAAUUAAAUAUUACUAAGGUUU